rnacentral:rRNA from 1 species
AGAGUUUGAUCCUGGCUCAGAUUGAACGCUGGCGGCAUGCCUUACACAUGCAAGUCGAACGGCAGCGCGGGGCAACCUGGCGGCGAGUGGCGAACGGGUGAGUAAUAUAUCGGAACGUGCCCUGGAGUGGGGGAUAACGCAGCGAAAGUUGCGCUAAUACCGCAUACGAUCUAAGGAUGAAAGCAGGGGACCGCAAGGCCUUGUGCUCCUGGAGCGGCCGAUAUCUGAUUAGCUAGUUGGUGGGGUAAAGGCCUACCAAGGCAUCGAUCAGUAGCUGGUCUGAGAGGACGACCAGCCACACUGGAACUGAGACACGGUCCAGACUCCUACGGGAGGCAGCAGUGGGGAAUUUUGGACAAUGGGCGCAAGCCUGAUCCAGCAAUGCCGCGUGAGUGAAGAAGGCCUUCGGGUUGUAAAGCUCUUUUGUCAGGGAAGAAACGGUGGGGGCUAAUAUCCCCUGCUAAUGACGGUACCUGAAGAAUAAGCACCGGCUAACUACGUGCCAGCAGCCGCGGUAAUACGUAGGGUGCAAGCGUUAAUCGGAAUUACUGGGCGUAAAGCGUGCGCAGGCGGUUUUUGUAAGUCUGCCGUGAAAUCCCCGGGCUCAACCUGGGAAUUGCGAUGGAGACUGCAAGGCUAGAAUCUGGCAGAGGGGGGGGGUAGAAUUCCACGGUGUAGCAGUGAAAUGCGGUAGAGAAUGGGGAGGAACACGAAUGGCGAACGCAGCCCCCUGGGUCAAGAUUGACGCUCAUGCACGAAAGCGUGGGGAGCAAACAGGAUUAGAUACCCUGGUAGUCCACGCCCUAA